UACACUUUAAAUCCUUUAACGAGGAUCUAUUGGAGGGCAAGUCUGGUGCCAGCAGCCGCGGUAAUUCCAGCUCCAAUAGCGUAUAUUAAUUUUGUUGCGGUUAAAAAGCUCGUAGUUGGAUCUCGGUUUCGGGCGAGCGGUGUACCUUGGGGUAUUUACUGUUUGCCCGGACGAUUUUGUUGGUUCGUUUAUGGUUCUCUUAACCGAGUGCCAUAAGUGGCCAGCACGUUUACUUUGAAAAAAUUGGAGUGCUCAAAGCAGGCGCUACAGCCUGAACAUUAGUGCAUGGAAUAAUGGAAUAGGAUCUCGGUUCUAUUUCGUUGGCUUUCGGAGUCGAGGUAAUGAUUAAUAGGGACAGACGGGGGCAUUCGUACUGCGACGUUAGAGGUGAAAUUCUUGGAUCGUCGCAAGACGAACUACUGCGAAAGCAUUUGCCAAGAAUGUUUUCAUUAAUCAAGAACGAAAGUUAGAGGUUCGAAGGCGAUCAGAUACCGCCCUAGUUCUAACCAUAAACGAUGUCGACCGGCGAUCCGUUAUCGUUAACUGAAUGACUUAACGGGCAGCCUCCGGGAAACCAGAGUGUUUGGAUUCCGGGGGAAGUAUGGUUGCAAAGCUGAAACUUAAAGGAAUUGACGGAAGGGCACCACCAGGAGUGGAGCCUGCGGCUUAAUUUGACCCAACACGGGAAAUCUCACCAGGCCCGGACACCGGAAGGAUUGACAGAUUGAGAGCUCUUUCUUGAUUCGGUGGGUGGUGGUGCAUGGCCGUUCUUAGUUGGUGGAGCGAUUUGUCUGGUUAAUUCCGAUAACGAACGAGACUCUGGCCUACUAACUAGACGUUAGAUUCCUUUGUGGGUCUAUCGCAGCUUCUUAGAGGGACGGGCGGCGUUUAGCCGCACGAGAUUAGCAAUAACAGGUCUGUGAUGCCCUUAGAUGUUCUGGGCUGCACGCGCGCUACACUGAAGGAAUCAGCGUGUGUUCCCUACCCGAAAGGGUUGGGAAACCCGUUGAACCUCCUUCGUGAUGGGGAUUGGGGAUUGCAAUUAUUCCCCAUGAACGAGGAAUUCCCAGUAAGCGCGAGUCAUAAGCUUGCGCUGAUUACGUCCCUGCCCUUUGUACACACCGCCCGUCGCUACUACCGAUCGAGUGAUUUAGUGAGGCCUUCGGACUGGUCUUCAGUAUGGCUUUCGGGUCGUGUUGGAGUACCGGAAAGAUGACCAAACUUGAUCACUUAGAGGAAGUAAAAGUC
rnacentral:rRNA from 1 species